GAUGAACUCUGGCGGCGUGCUUAACACAUGCAAGUCGAACGAAGCACUUUAUUUGAUUUCCUUCGGGACUGAUUAUUUUGUGACUGAGUGGCGGACGGGUGAGUAACGCGUGGGUAACCUGCCUUGUACAGGGGGAUAACAGUUGGAAACGGCUGCUAAUACCGCAUAAGCGCACAGCAUCGCAUGAUGCAGUGUGAAAAACUCCGGUGGUAUAAGAUGGACCCGCGUUGGAUUAGCUAGUUGGUGAGGUAACGGCCCACCAAGGCGACGAUCCAUAGCCGACCUGAGAGGGUGACCGGCCACAUUGGGACUGAGACACGGCCCAAACUCCUACGGGAGGCAGCAGUGGGGAAUAUUGCACAAUGGGCGAAAGCCUGAUGCAGCGACGCCGCGUGAGCGAAGAAGUAUUUCGGUAUGUAAAGCUCUAUCAGCAGGGAAGAUAAUGACGGUACCUGACUAAGAAGCACCGGCUAAAUACGUGCCAGCAGCCGCGGUAAUACGUAUGGUGCAAGCGUUAUCCGGAUUUACUGGGUGUAAAGGGAGCGCAGGCGGUGCGGCAAGUCUGAUGUGAAAGCCCGGGGCUCAACCCCGGUACUGCAUUGGAAACUGUCGUACUAGAGUGUCGGAGGGGUAAGCGGAAUUCCUAGUGUAGCGGUGAAAUGCGUAGAUAUUAGGAGGAACACCAGUGGCGAAGGCGGCUUACUGGACGAUAACUGACGCUGAGGCUCGAAAGCGUGGGGAGCAAACAGGAUUAGAUACCCUGGUAGUCCACGCCGUAAACG
rnacentral:rRNA from 1 species